CGAAGCCCAGAGAGAGGAGGCAGCAGGCAAUGACACAGAAGUGCCGGGAGUGUGGCGAGGCAGGGGCAGCAGCAGAAGGAAUGCGUGGGAGCAGGAGCCACAGCAGAGGGAGCACACGGAGCAGGUCAUGCUAGCAGCAGCAGCAGCAUGAAACAACCCCUAAAAACGAGCAGGACAUUUUAAGGGCAUUGUGAUUAUUGCUAAGUUUUGUGACUGAAGGAAUCCACAUAAAGCAUCAUUAAUUUUAUCAACGAUGGCAAGCAUCUCAUUCUGCUCUUGGGUUGGUGAUUUGUUCUGAUGUGAGGAGUUGGCUGGAAGACAUUGUGCCAUUUAGAUUCAAGGAACAUUCUUGGGUUUGCUGUGCCACUCCUAGAUGGGCCAGGUGUUUGUGCUGCACAUUUGUGUCGCCGGGAUCCCGUCAGUCGGCAUACUGAAGACCACCCCUCCCAAGAAAGGUACAUGCACAGCUGAAUUGAUCUGGACUGGAUCAGUAAAUAUUCCACUUGUUGCCAAGAUGGAAAACCUCAAAACAUGCCAGUCUUGGUUUCUUGAGGAUUGGAGAGGAGAACCACUGAUCUAAAGCCAACAAUAAUUCUGGUUACCUUGUUGGAGAAAAUGGGAUAGGACCAGCUUCAUGGAAAGGCAGAGUAGUGCCAUGUUGGAAAAGAGACCACAGCCAAGAGAGAAAAAUCCACUGGGCUAUCUCUUCUUGUUGGUUCCUCAAUGGAAGUUGGAAACAGGGAAAGCAGGAUCUUCAGAUCAACUUCCAGACGGACCAGACACACAUGGCAAGUAUAACACUUUAAUGACCAGUACCAAAUGGAUUAAGUAUACAUUAACAUUUCAUCAAUUACAUACACAUUCCCCUUUAAGUCAUUAAUCCAUGCUAAACCCCUGUCAAUUAGGCCUAUACACAGUACCUGCAUGCAAUACAACAAAUCCUUUUUCUUUUCAAGACACCCUUAGGUGUUAGAGUGACCCGGGUACUCUUAAUAUGAUAGUGCACUAUAAGGGCCCAUAAACUUCCUAAAAAUAACAGCAGUUAAUACAGAAUGUCUGACA